rnacentral:rRNA from 1 species
UGGGGAAUAUUGGACAAUGGGGGCAACCCUGAUCCAGCCAUGCCGCGUGAGUGAAGAAGGCCUUCGGGUUGUAAAGCUCUUUUGGCGGGGAAGAUGAUGACUGUACCCGCAGAAUAAGCACCGGCUAACUUCGUGCCAGCAGCCGCGGUAAUACGAAGGGUGCGAGCGUUGUUCGGAGUCACUGGGCGUAAAGGGUGCGUAGGCGGUUAUUCAAGUUAGGUGUGAAAGCCCUGGGCUCAACCCGGGAUGUGCACUUGAUACUGGAUGGCUAGAGAGAGGAAGAGGAUAGCGGAAUUCCUAGUGUAGAGGUGAAAUUCGUAGAUAUUAGGAAGAACACCAGUGGCGAAGGCGGCUAUCUGGUCCUUUUCUGACGCUGAGGCACGAAAGCGUGGGGAGCAAACAGG